rnacentral:rRNA from 1 species
GUUUGAUCCUGGCUCAGAUUGAACGCUGGCGGCAUGCUUUACACAUGCAAGUCGAGCGGCAGCGCGGGGCUCAGGCAACUGAGCCCUGGCGGCGAGCGGCGAACGGGUGAGUAAUGCAUCGGAACGUGUCCCGUAGUGGGGGAUAACGCCGGGAAACCGGCGCUAAUACCGCAUAUGCUCUACGGAGGAAAGUGGGGGACCUGCAAGGGCCUCACGCUAUGGGAGCGGCCGAUGUCCGAUUAGCUUGUUGGUGGGGUAAAGGCUUACCAAGGCGACGAUCGGUAGCUGGUCUGAGAGGAUGAUCAGCCACACUGGGACUGAGACACGGCCCAGACUCCUACGGGAGGCAGCAGUGGGGAAUUUUGGACAAUGGGGGCAACCCUGAUCCAGCCAUGCCGCGUGAGUGAAGAAGGCCUUCGGGUUGUAAAGCUCUUUUGGCCGGGAAGAAAAGGCGCCCUUGAAUACGGGGCGCUGUUGACGGUACCGGCAGAAUAAGCACCGGCUAACUACGUGCCAGCAGCCGCGGUAAUACGUAGGGUGCGAGCGUUAAUCGGAAUUACUGGGCGUAAAGCGUGCGCAGGCGGUUCGUUAUGUCCGUUGUGAAAGCCCCGGGCUCAACCUGGGAAUGGCGAUGGAAACUGGCGGGCUAGAGUGUGGCAGAGGGGGGUGGAAUUCCGCGUGUAGCAGUGAAAUGCGUAGAGAUGCGGAGGAACACCGAUGGCGAAGGCAGCCCCCUGGGCUGACACUGACGCUCAGGCACGAAAGCGUGGGGAGCNAACAGGAUUAGAUACCCUGGUAGUCCACGCCCUAAACGAUGAUCACUAGGUGUUGGCGGAGCAAUCUGCUGGUACCGUAGCUAACGCGUG